CUAGCUUCAUUAAAUAAUUUUUAAAAGGAUUUAAAAGAGAGCUCUACAUGUAACCAUAUAAGUCAGAGUUACAGUCAUGGACGAGGCGGUUUGCACCUUUUAUUCCCUGGAAAUGAAGUAUUUCUCUCAGAAAAUCAUAUAAAAUAACUUGUUUUAUUAUUAGGGGUGUCACGAUUUCAAUAUUUCAUCGAAAUCGAUCGAAGUUAUGUCAUGGUCUCGAACAUGUCUGUCCCAUUUCCCCAAUUACAGCUCCUUCCUUCUAUUCCUCAUCCUCCUCUCCUCUAUUCCUCCACCUUUUUCUGGGGAAGGAGGAGUAGGAGAGGAGGAGUAGCAAAAGUUUCUGGACGCAGCCAGUGUAGGGCCCAGUGUCAGAAGGCUGGAUUUGUGUUCUAGGUCAUGGGUCUUGCAUUAAGACCAUGACCCUAAACAUACUUCAAAAUACACGUAGAGAUGGAUGGAAAUAAGGUGAUGGAGACUUCUGGAUUGGCCACCAAUAAGUCUAAAUCCCUUUGAUCACUUGUAGAGAGAUCUUAAAAUUGCUGUUGGGAAAAGAAUCCUUUCAAUUAUUAGAGGCCUGGCGCAGUUUACAAAAUGGUGUGAAAUUCCAGUUGAUGGGUGUAAGAAACUUGUUGAUGUUUACAGGAAGUGAUUGAUUUAUAAUGUUUUUUUAAAGGGUAUGCAAACAAAUAUUAAGUUGAGGGUGCCAAAGAUUUUGUCUGGCACAUUUUUUGAUUUUUGCGUGAAAUAGCAAAUCUGGCUGUUUUUUGUGCAGUUCCAAUACACACAAAUGAAAGGAACAUGUUUAUAACAAAUCAUGUGGAGUUGCAAUCAUUUUUUGGGAGAUAAACUUCAUUUUUAUGGGACCAAAAAUCAAGGGCCAACAUUUUUGGCUAUGACCGUAUAAUCUGUGCAUAAAUUAUUAAUUUUCUAAAAGCUUCAAAUGUGCCUCAACCAAUUAUAUUUUAGUAUCAGAUAUUUUAUGUAUUACCAUACGUAAGUCUACUGACUGGUCCGUUCACCCUGUUAUUAAAUUUCCUAUAACUUUAAUGUUUGUUUUUCCUCAAGGGCAAGAAAGAGGUCCUUGUCCGCUGGAAACCAUGUUCUGGAUGUGGUUUGGCGUGGAAGGACACAUGGGAACCAUCUGAUGAAUUUGGUGGUGAUUGAUUAGAAAUAGUACACUGAUCUAUAACAUUUUUAUCUGUUUGUUUCCAGUGCCUUUCAUUUGCAAAUAAAGGGGAAGUGGGGAUUGUUUUUUCCCUGCUGGAAACUUUCAUAUCUGUUCAUUUAAAAUAAAAAGUAAUUGCAGACACAA